rnacentral:rRNA from 1 species
AACGAACGCUGGCGGCAUGCCUAACACAUGCAAGUCGAACGAGACCUUCGGGUCUAUUGGCGCACGGGUGCGUAACGCGUGGGAACCUUCCCUUAGGUUCGGAAUAACUCCCCGAAAGGGGUGCUAAUACCGGAUAAUGUCUUCUGACCAAAGAUUUAUCGCCUUUGGUUGGGCCCGCGUUGGAUUAGCUAGUUGGUAGGGUAAAAGCCUACCAAGGCGACCAUCCAUAGAUGGUCUGAGAGGAUGAUCAGCCACACUGGGACUGAGAAACGGCCCAGAAUCCUACGGGAGGCAGCAGUGGGGAAUAUUGGACAAUGGGCGAAAGCAUGAUCCAGCAAUGCCGCGUGAGUGAUGAAGGCCUUAGGGUUGUAAAGCUCUUUUACCCGGGAUGAUAAUGACAGUACCGGGAGAAUAAGCUCCGGCUAACUCCGUG